rnacentral:rRNA from 1 species
UGGGGAAUUUUGGACAAUGGGCGCAAGCCUGAUCCAGCCAUGCCGCGUGCAGGAUGAAGGCCUUCGGGUUGUAAACUGCUUUUGUACGGAACGAAAAGACUCCUUCUAAUAAAGGGGGUCCAUGACGGUACCGUAAGAAUAAGCACCGGCUAACUACGUGCCAGCAGCCGCGGUAAUACGUAGGGUGCGAGCGUUAAUCGGAAUUACUGGGCGUAAAGCGUGCACAGGCGGUUAUAUAAGACAGGUGUGAAAUCCCCGGGCUCAACCUGGGAACUGCAUUUGUGACUGUAUAGCUAGAGUACGGCAGAGGGGGAUGGAAUUCCGCGUGUAGCAGUGAAAUGCGUAGAUAUGCGGAGGAACACCGAUGGCGAAGGCAAUCCCCUGGGCCUGUACUGACGCUCAUGAACGAAAGCGUGGGGAGCAAACA